UGCCAGCCGCCGCGGUAAUACGAAGGGUGCUAGCGUUGUUCGGAAUUACUGGGCGUAAAGAGCAUGUAGGCGGAUGAAUUAGUCAGAGGUGAAAGCCCCGAGCUCAACUUGGGAACUGCCUUUGAUACUGUUUAUCUAGAGUCCGAGAGAGGUUAGUGGAAUUCCCAGUGUAGAGGUGAAAUUCGUAGAUAUUGGGAAGAACACCAGUGGCGAAGGCGACUUUCUGGACCGGUUCUGACGCUGAGGAGCGAAAGCUAGGGGAGCGAACAGGAUUAGAUA
rnacentral:rRNA from 1 species